UUAUAGGCUAUAGCGCCGCUAACUCCGCUAUUUGACAAUAUUUUGUACUAAAUAGGGUAUUGAGGAAAACCAGCAGUUUGUUCAAAUUCCACUACCCUAUAAUGAUAGCGCCGCAAUAGCUUCUAUUAAAUAACACCGGUCGAAAACUAUCAAAUUAGGGGGGAGGGAUAAGCCAUGAUACAAUUGUACAAGGAAGAGAACGAAUCUAACCAUACACUUUCCAUUCAAUAAAAAUGCAACUAACUGGAUAUUCCCGUAACUAAAACUGCUUUGUAAAUUGUAAUGUAACUUUCGCGCACAUCAGAGGCUGAAACAUAACUCUGACAUGAACAUAUGCCAAAAGCAGUAUGAUCAAGCAUAGGAACCAGUAACUUUUGCGAAUAUUUAAACAUGUUGUAGAGAAAACUCUAAAUAAAUUUAAGGUCAUCACAUAACAUGUUAUUGUUAAGACUCUAAAAAUUAUU
rnacentral:lncRNA from 1 species